rnacentral:rRNA from 1 species
CCUUGUACACACCGCCCGUCACACCAUGGGAGUUGGUUUGACCUUAAGCUGGUGCGCCAACCCGCAAGGGGGCAGCCAACCACGGUCGGGUCAGCGACUGGGGUG